AUUGAACGCUGGCGGCAUGCUUUACACAUGCAAGUCGAACGGCAGCGCGGGCUUCGGCCUGGCGGCGAGUGGCGAACGGGUGAGUAAUACAUCGGAACGUGCCCAGCCGUGGGGGAUAGCUCGGCGAAAGCCGGAUUAAUACCGCAUACGACCUGAGGGUGAAAGCGGGGGAUCUUCGGAGCUCGCGGCAUUGGCGCGGCCGAUGGCAGAUUAGCUAGUUGGUGGGGUAAAGGCCUACCAAGGCGACGAUCUGUAGCUGGUCUGAGAGGACGACCAGCCACACUGGAACUGAGCCACGCCCCAGCCUCCUACGGGAGGCAGCAGUGGGGAAUUUUGGACAAAGGGCGAAAGCCUGAUCCAGCAAUGCCGCGUGUGUGAUGAAGGCCUUCGGGUUGUAAAGCACUUUUGGCGGGAACGAAAAGGACUGUGCCAAUACCACGGUUCGAUGACGGUACCCGCAGAAUAAGCACCGGCUAACUACGUG
rnacentral:rRNA from 1 species